GAUGAAGAACGUAGCGAAAUGCGAUAAUUAAUGUGAAUUGCAGAAUUCCGUGAAUCAUCGAGUCUUUGAACGCACAUUGCGCCUCAUGGCAUUCCGUGAGGCAUGCCCAUCUCAGCGUUAGAAAAUAUUCUCAAAUUUUAGUUUUGUGCUAAAAUUUGGGUCAUGUCAAAGAAGCUAUUACUAUUAUUGUGAUCGCUCUUUGGAAAUUGAUAGGUCUUUGAGUUGCUACUCAUAGAACGUGAUGAAUCUUUCUUCGUUCUAUUGUAAUUCACUCUGGUAGUCCUAAAACUUGUAUGCCUGUGGCAUAUCUUGUAAUUUGACCUGAGAUUGGGUAGGGAUACCCGCUGAACUUAAGCAUAUCAAUAAGCGGAGGA
rnacentral:misc_RNA from 1 species